GGGUUGUUUUUUUUUCAGGGCAAAAUUGUCAAUAUAAUGGUGCAACCUAUAAAGAUGGUGAAUCAUUUCAAGACGACUGUAAUACGUGCAAAUGCACCAAUGGUAAUGUCGGCUGUACAAAGAAAGCGUGCCACAAACCUGGCAAAUGCCCACGUACCACUGGUCCCGGCAUCCGUGUAAACCUGUGUACAGGCGAUUUGAGCUGUCCAGGAAACCAGAAAUGCUGUAGUAAUGGAUGUGGUCAAACAUGUAUGCCGCAAGUAGGCGUAGGACCUGACUGUAGUUCUAUAACCUGUCCGGAGCGGUUUUGUGCGGGCAGUUAUGUUCCUGAAGGGAUGUGUUGUCCUGUAUGUCCACGUACCGGAUACUGAUCUCACUCCAGACGGUUUUUUCAAUACUGCUCAUCACUAGCAAACUGUCCAACUUCUAAAUUCCGUGCCUAGAGAUGUCGGCAGUCAUCACCAACAACAUAACAACAUUUGUAACAGUAACGGGCUUCUCAUUUCUGUUUUAUUCUUGUACACAUUGCCCCUGUAUCGUGUAAAUAAAUCUAGCGUAUAUA
rnacentral:lncRNA from 1 species